AGGUGGGAGGCUUUGAAACCAGGACGCCAGUUUUGGCGGAGCCAUCCUUGGGAUACCACCCUUGUAGUACUGGGACUCUAACCAUAGGCCAUGAAUCUGGUCUUGGGACACUGUCAGGUGGGCAGUUUGACUGGGGCGGUCGCCUCCCAAAAGGUAACGGAGGCGCUCAAAGGUUCUCUCAGUACGGUCGGAAAUCGUACGUAGAGUGUAAAGGCAAAAGAGAGCUUGAUUGCAAGACAUACAGGUCGAGCAAGGAUGAAAAUCGGACUUAGUGAUCCGGUGGUUCUGCGUGGAAGGGCCAUCGCUCAACGGAUAAAAGCUACCCUGGGGAUAACAGGCUUAUCUCCCCCAAGAGUCCACAUCGACGGGGAGGUUUGGCACCUCGAUGUCGGCUCAUCACAUCCUGGGGCUGUAGUAGGUCCCAAGGGUUGGGCUGUUCGCCCAUUAAAGUGGUACGCGAGCUGGGUUCAGAACGUCGUGAGACAGUUCGGUCCCUAUCCGUCGCAGGCGUAGGAAAUUUGAGAAGACCUGUCCUUAGUACGAGAGGACCGGGAUGGACGUACCUCUGGUGUACCAGUUGUUCUGCCAAGGGCAUGGCUGGGUAGCUAUGUACGGAAUGGAUAAGCGCUGAAAGCAUCUAAGCGCGAAGCCAACUUCAAGAUAAGAUUUCCCACCGUAAGGGUAAGACCCCAGAAAGACUAUCUGGUUGAUAGGUCGAAGGUGUAAGUGCAGCAAUGUAUUUAGCUUAUCGAUACUAAUAGGUCGAGGACUUGACCAA
rnacentral:rRNA from 1 species